rnacentral:rRNA from 1 species
AAUGAACGCUGGCGGCGUGGUUAAGACAUGCAAGUCGAACGGUUUUUCAAGUGUAGCAAUACUCUUGAAAAGCAGUGGCGAACGGGUGCGUAACACGUGAACAAUCUACCUUUUAGUGUGGAAUAGCUCGCCGAAAGGCGAAUUAAUACCGCAUGUGAUUGCCUCUCUCAUGAGAGACAUAUUAAAGUCGGGGACCGCAA